rnacentral:rRNA from 1 species
AGCAUAUAAAUAAGCGGAGGAAAAGAAACUAACAAGGAUUCCCUUAGUAACUGCGAGUGAAGAGGGAAGAGCCCAGCACCGAAGCUCUCGCCGUAACUGGCGCUGCGCAAUGUGGUGUUUAAAGGAAACCGUUUCCGACGAGCCUGCCAUUGCCUAAGUCCCCCUGACUGGGGCCAUCGCCUGUGAUGGGUGCAAGGCCUUUGUGGCAAUUACGGCGGCUUGGAGGAUGGUUACCUUUUUGGAGUCGGGUUGCUUGAGAGUGCAGCCCUAAGUCGGUGGUAAACUCCAUCGAAGGCUAAAUACUGACACGAGACCGAUAGC